rnacentral:rRNA from 1 species
UACGAGGGGUGCAAGCGUUGCUCGGAAUUAUUGGGCGUAAAGGGUAUGUAGGUGGUCUCAUUUGUCCGGGGUGAAAGCCUUGAGCUUAACUCAAGAAGUGCCCCGGAAACGGUGAGACUCGAGUACUGGAGAGGGUCGUGGAAUUCCCGGUGUAGCGGUGAAAUGCGUAGAUAUCGAGAGGAACACCUGCGGCGAAGGCGGGUAGCUGGGCCGACACUGACGCUGAGGCGCGAAAGCCAGGGGAGCGAACGGG